rnacentral:lncRNA from 1 species
GUGUGACUGAGUGUGAGUGGUGUGUAGAGUUAGAUAUCUUGUUUUUUCUUUUAUGUUUCCCUUUCUUGGUGCUAUCUUAUUUUUUUCUUCCUAUUCAUGAUUAAGGUUAUCAUUUUUAUUUAGUUGUUAUGGUAGAAUUAAGUAUAUUGUUUUUUGUGUCAAAAUUACCCUGGUUUUGGCGGGGAUGGUGACCAAGAUGGGGACGCCAUUCCUGUCACUUCGGCACGGCUUUAGGUGUGUUACUGAAGCUACUGUCACUGUGGAGGAGUUUCUGGUCGCCGUAGGAGAGAAGGUGGCGAAUCGCAUCUCUGCAUGUCUGGCAGACAUAUCAGUGUGGAUGACGGAUCACCACCUCAAGCUGAACCUCGGCAAGACGGAGCUGCUCUUCCUCCCGGGGAAGGACUGCCCGUUCCAUGAUCUCGCCAUCACGGUUGACAACUCCCUUGUGUCCUCCUCCCAGAGUGCUAAGAGCCUUGGCGUGACCCUGGACAACACCCUGUCGUUCUCCACCAACAUCAAGGCGGUGACCCGA